AUGGAAUGUCCAUUGCCGUUUGGGGGAAAGGUUGUCGUCUUUGGUGGGGAUUUCAGGCAGGUCCUUCCCGUUGUGACGCACAAUAUGCGUGCACAGGCUGAUCCUUGGUUCUCCAAAUACCUCCUAAGGAUCGGCAAUGGAACAGAAGAGACAAUUGGCGACGACUAUGUGCGUCUCCCUGACGACAUUGUGAUCGGCUAUACUAAGGAUGAAAAAGCUAUUAACACACUCAUUGAAGAUGUCUUCCCAUCGCUGCAUGCCAAUGCUAGAUCGAGAGAGUACAUGAGCGCACGUGCAAUUCUUUCGACCAAGAAUGAUCAUGUGAAUGACCUGAAUGAUAAGAUGAUCUCCAGGUUUCCAGGCGAAGAAAAUUUAUACCAUAACUGCCCAGUCAUUCUGCUUCGGAACCUCGACCCUCAUAAUGGCCUAUGCAAUGGAACACGACUUAUGAUCAGAGCCUUCCAGGAUAAUGCAAUCGACGCGGAGAUUGUUGCAGGUCAGCAUGCUGGAAAGAGGGUGUUCAUACCUAGGAUCCCUAUGUCGCCCUCGGAGGACAUCUCACUUCCCUUCAAACUUAAGAGAAAACAGUUCCCCAUCCGCCUAAGUUUUGCGAUGACAAUUAAUAAGGCACAGGGUUAG
rnacentral:rRNA from 1 species